rnacentral:misc_RNA from 1 species
AAAGUCGUAACAAGGUUUCCGUAGGUGAACCUGCGGAAGGAUCAUUAAUACGUAUCCCACGUUGCACCCAGCUCCUGGGACUGACAUCUAUCUAUAUCCAGGCGAGUUGGCAAGUGGAGGCUGCCAAGUGCAGCUUGCAUUGAAGACCACUGGGUACAGUAUUGGCAGUCGGGAUUGAGCUUGCAAUAGGCUUGGUUGCCCCAAGGUGCGUAUGUCUGACAGAGUCAACGUGCUGUAAGGAUAUCUUGGACAAGUAGUUUCUGAAAGCGAUACUAUUUGGAGAUACUGGCUACCUUCGCGUAGCUACCACUGGAGGCCGACACGGCCGGUGGCCAGGUCCUGGCUAAGGCCCCUCAUAUUAACCCCUUGAACCUGCAGUGUCCGCCUCGAACUAUCGAGACGCGCGGGACAUAACCGAACAACUGUUAACAAUGGAUAUCUUGGUUCUC